rnacentral:rRNA from 1 species
UACGGGGGGGGCAAGCGUUGUUCGGAAUUACUGGGCGUAAAGGGCUCGUAGGUGGCCAACUAAGUCGGACGUGAAAUCCCUCAGCUUAACUGGGGAACUGCGUCCGAUACUGGAUGGCUUGAAUCCGGGAGAGGGAUGCAGAAUUCCAGGUGUAGCGGUGAAAUGCGUAGAUAUCUGGAGGAAUACCGGUGGCGAAGGCGGAUCUCUGGGCCUUACCUGACGCUGAGGCGCGAAAGCUAGGGGAGCAAACAGG